UGUCCAGCAACUCCUAUCCCUACCUCCUCGUGGUACUGGCCGGGGUAUGGGCAACUUGAGGGAAGG
rnacentral:ribozyme from 1 species